GGUUCCAUGUUGUAAUGGUUAGCAAUCCAGACUCUGAAUCUGGUGAUCCGAGUUCAAGUCUCGGUGGAACCU
rnacentral:tRNA from 1 species